rnacentral:rRNA from 1 species
UGAAGCUUGCUUCUUGAUUCAGAUUUUGGUGAGUGGCGGACGGGUGAGUAACACGUGGGUAACCUGCCCAAAAGUGGGGGAUAACAUUUGGAAACAAGUGCUAAUACCGCAUAACAACUGCUUUCACAUGAUCGCAGCUUGAAAGAUGGCUCUGCUAUCGCUUUUGGAUGGACCCGCGGCGUAUUAGCUAGUUGGUGAGGUAAUAGCUCACCAAGGCAAUGAUACGUAGCCGACCUGAGAGGGUAAUCGGCCACAUUGGGACUGAGACACGGCCCAAACUCCUACGGGAGGCAGCAGUAGGGAAUCUUCCACAAUGGGCGAAAGCCUGAUGGAGCAAUGCCGCGUGAGUGAAGAAGGUUUUCGGAUCGUAAAACUCUGUUGUUGAAGAAGAACAUGCGUGAGAGUAACUGUUCACGUACUGACGGUAUUCAACCAGAAAGCCACGGCUAACUACGUGCCAGCAGCCGCGGUAAUACGUAGGUGGCAAGCGUUGUCCGGAU